UACAGGGGGGGCAAGCGUUGUUCGGAAUUACUGGGCGUAAAGGGCUCGUAGGCGGCCAACUAAGUCACACGUGAAAUCCCCAGGCUUAACCUGGGAACUGCGUGUGAUACUGGAUGGCUUGAAUCCGGGAGAGGGAUGCGGAAUUCCAGGUGUAGCGGUGAAAUGCGUAGAUAUCAGGAAGAACACCCGUGGCGAAGGCGGCUCUCUGGGACGGUACUGACGCUGAGACGCGAAAGCGUGGGGAGCGAACAGG
rnacentral:rRNA from 1 species